GUAGGGAAUCUUCCGCAAUGGACGAAAGUCUGACGGAGCAACGCCGCGUGAGUGAAGAAGGUUUUCGGAUCGUAAAACUCUGUUGUCGGAGAAGAACAAGUAGGAGAGUAACUGUUCCUACCUUGACGGUACCCGACCAGAAAGCCACGGCUAACUACGUGCCAGCAGCCGCGGUAAUACGUAGGUGGCAAGCGUUGUCCGGAUUUAUUGGGCGUAAAGCGAGCGCAGGUGGUUUCUUAAGUCUGAUGUGAAAGCCCACGGCUCAACCGUGGAAGGUCAUUGGAAACUGGGGAACUUGAAUGCAGAAGAGGAGAGUGGAAUUCCAUGUGUAGCGGUGAAAUGCGUAGAUAUAUGGAGGAACACCAGUGGCGAAGGCGACUCUCUGGUCUGUUAUUGACACUGAGGCUCGAAAGCGUGGGGAGCAAACAGGAUUAGAAACCCUAGUAGUCC
rnacentral:rRNA from 1 species